UUGACCUCGAUCAGUAGCUGCCCA
rnacentral:rRNA from 1 species